rnacentral:rRNA from 1 species
UAUAAGCCCGGGGCUCAACUUCGGGACGCACGGGAAACUGGGGAACUGGAGUGCAGGAGAGGAAAGUGGAAUUCCACGUGUAGCGGUGAAAUGCGUAGAGAUGUGGAGGAACACCAGUGGCGAAGGCGACUUUCUGGCCUGUAACUGACGCUGAGGCGCGAAAGCGUGGGGAGCAA